GGUCCAUGGACCAGCAUCAGCGUUACCUGGUAGUGAGUUAGAGAUGCAGAGCCCUGGGCUCCUCAGCAAACCUACUGGAUCUGCAUUUUAAUUCACAUGCAUGGUAAUGUCUGUAAAGCACUGAUGGACU
rnacentral:precursor_RNA from 1 species